rnacentral:rRNA from 1 species
UCAGAUUGAACGCUGGCGGCAUGCUUUACACAUGCAAGUCUAACGGCAGCACGAAAGAGCUUGCUUUUUUGGUGGCGAGUGGCGAACGGGUGAGUAAUACAUUGGAACGUACCGAGUAAUGGGGGAUAACUGUCCGAAAGGAUGGCUAAUACCGCAUACGCUCUGAGGAGGAAAGCGGGGGACCUUCGGGCCUCGCGUUAUUCGAGCGGCCAAUGUNUGAUUAGCUAGUUGGUGGGGUAAAGGCCUACCAAGGCGACGAUCAGUAGUGGGUCUGAGAGGAUGAUCCGCCACACUGGGACUGAGACACGGCCCAGACUCCUACGGGAGGCAGCAGUGGGGAAUUUUGGACAAUGGGCGAAAGCCUGAUCCAGCCAUGCCGCGUGUCUGAAGAAGGCCUUCGGGUUGUAAA